rnacentral:rRNA from 1 species
AUUCCAGCUCCAAUAGCGUAUAUUAAAGUUGUUGCGGUUAAAAAGCUCGUAGUUGGAUUUCUGUUGAGAACAGCCGGUCCACCUCUUGGGUGAGUAUCUGGAUUGGUCUCGGCAUCCUCUCGAAACUCGUUGCUGCGCUUGAUUGCGUGGUGCGGUGUUCGGGACUUUUACUUUGAGGAAAUUAGAGUGUUCACGGCAGGCAUUCGCCUUGAAUAUAUUAGCAUGGAAUAAUACUAUAGGAUCUUGGUUCUAUUUUGUUGGUUUCUAGGGCUAAGAUAAUAAUCAAUAGGGACAAUUGGGGGCAUUCGUAUUACGGCGUCAGAGGUGAAAUUCUUGGAUUGCCGUACGACGAACUACUGCGAAAGCAUUUGCCAAGGAUGUUUUCAUUA